rnacentral:tRNA from 1 species
GGGGAUAUGGCGGAAUGGUAGACGUUGCGGACUUAAAAUCCGUUCAGUGAGAGCUGGUGAGGGUUCAAGUCCCUCUAUCCCCA